rfam:Anaerotruncus sp. CAG:528 genomic scaffold, scf5
CGAGUUGAUUGGGCAGUUGCGCACCGUGUAUUUUCUAUGCGGUGUGAGGAAAGUCCGAGCAGCGCAGAGCAGGAUAACGGCUAACGGCCGCCGAGGGUGACCUUAGGGAAAGUGCAACAGAAAUAAACCGCCGCUUAUGCGGUAAGGAUGGAAAGGCGAGGUAAGAGCUCACCGAGCGGGUGGAGACAUCCGCUGCCAUGUAAACCCUAUCCGCUGCAACACAGAAGGGGAGGAUGCCGGCUCGGCACAUAAUCCCGAAAUGUGGCUGGAGCGCAUCAGCAAUGAUGCGUCGAGAUAGAUAAUUGCCUACAACAGAACUCGGCUUACAGAUCAACUCGCAUU